GCCGGGCGUGGUGGCACGCGCCUGUAGUCCCAGCUACUCGGGAGGCUGCGGUGGGAGGAUCGCUUGAGUCCAGGAGUUCUGGGCUGCAGUGCGCUAUGCCGAUCGGGUGUCCACACUAAGUUCGGCAUCAAUAUGGUGACCUCCCGGGAGCGGGGGACCACCAGGUUGCCUAAGGAGGGGUGAACCGGCCCAGGUCGGAAACAGAGCAGGUCAAAACUCCCGUGCUGCUCAGUAUUGGGAUCGCGCCUGUGAAUAGCCACUGCACUCCAGCCUGGGCAAUAUUGUGAGACCCUGUCUCUA
rfam:Cavia porcellus supercont2_27 genomic scaffold, whole genome shotgun sequence.